rnacentral:rRNA from 1 species
GUGCAGCAGUCGCGAAUCUUCCGCAAUGGGCGAAAGCCUGACGGAGCGACGCCGCGUGCUUGAAGAAGCCCUUCGGGGUGUAAAAGCUUUUCUACCUGAGAAACCUUCGGGUGGUGUUAGGGUAGGAAUAAGGGGAGGCUAAUCACGUGCCGAGAAGCCUCGGGUAAUACGUGAUCCCCAAGCGUUAUCCGGAUUUAUUGGGGCGUAAAGGGUUCGUAGGCGGUUUGUAAAG